UUCCGUAGGGGGACCUGCGGAGGGAUCAUUACUGAGUUUUUGUACUCUAUAAACCAUGUGUGAACGUACCUAUCUUGUAGUGAGAUGAAUGCUGUUUUGGUGGUAGGGCCCUUCUGAAGGGCACCGCUGCCAGCGGUAUAGUCUCACCACUAUAAAACUCUUUUAUUAUUUUCUAGAUUUUUCAUUGCUGAGUGGCAUAACUAUAAAAAAGUUAAAACUUUCAACAACGGAUCUCUUGGCUCUAGCAUCGAUGAAGAACGCAGCGAAAUGCGAUAAGUAAUGUGAAUUGCAGAAUUCAGUGAAUCAUCGAAUCUUUGAACGCACAUUGCGCCUGGCAGUAUUCUGCCAGGCAUGCCUGUCCGAGCGUCAUUUCACCACUCAAGACUCUUUUGUUCUUGGCGUUGGAGGUCCUGUUCUCCCCUGAACAGGCCGCCGAAAUGUAUCGGCUGUUAUACUUGCCAACUCCCCUGUGUAGUAUAAAAUUUCUAAUUUUUACACUUUGAAGUUCUUGUGUAACACGCCGCUAAACCUGCUCAACUUUUGUUGAACUUUUCACAAGGUUGACCUCGGAUCAGGUAGGAAUACCCGCUGAACUUAAGCAUAUCAUAG
rnacentral:rRNA from 1 species